AUUUGAAUAGUUUAUAAUUUUUUUUUUUCAAAACAAACUCUCUCUCUCUCUAACCCAAGCGAAACAAAAUCACUCUCUCAGGCUCUCUAACCCUCGAUGAAGACUCCUCCAUCUCGCCGGGAAGACGAUGGCAUCACAAUGUCACUAUCUCUCUCUCUCUCUCUUUGUAACCCUCGAUUUAAUGAAGAGCUCCUUCAAGUCGUCGGUUAAAAUCUUGAACGAAUUAGAACGAUUCAUUCAACGGGGAAGACGAUGGCAUCACAAAAGUCACUCUCUCUCUCUCUAACCCUCAAUUCAGUCUUCGUACCUCGAACGAAGAAAUCUAGGAAAACGGGGAAGACGAAGGCAACCUUGAGGUUAAGAUCUUCAAAUCUGAUAUCCAUUGUAUAUUUUAUUUUAAUAUUACUACAGUAUAUGUGUCUGCAAUCUAGAUCUCCACAAAUAUAAAAGAACCGUGGUGUAUUUGUGAGGUGCAAUAUCGAUCUGCUUCAAAUUUGACAUGUGCAUUGUAGGCUGGAGAUUUAAUGUUAGCCGAGAUGUAUUUUGUGAACCUAGACCCAACGUCUUAAUCGUCCGUCAGUCCCCCAUUUUUGCAAUGAACAGAAUUUGAAUGAUUUCGUCAAUUUGUAAAUACGUUUUGUUUUCAAAUUUUGUAUGAUUAGGUGUGAUAUUCAUACGAGAAAACGUGAGAUGAUGCUAAAUUUUUUGUUUCAAAUUUUGCUAUGAAUUUUUAACUUUUUUAUAUGCACAGAAGAUAUUUAGAUAAGAUGAUGCUGAAAUGAUUGCCCACUAAGAUAGCUUAGGAUUUAAACGUUUAAG
rnacentral:lncRNA from 1 species